AAAACUAAAGAGAGGAGCAUUUAUAUUUUAUAUAUAUAGUAGAUGGAUGGGAGACUAUAUUCACGAGGGGCAUCCAUCCAUUUUCCGCAAAAUCAAAAGCAUGCAUGGUUCCUGUGUGUGUUGUGUUGUGUUGAAUAACCCAACCUAUAGGGCAUCUUCCUUCCACCCCUAACCCCCCACCCUCACCAAACAAACACAAAGAGAAAGCCCCAGUUCCACCCUACAUUUCUUAUAUACCUUAAAAUACUUCCUCAAAUAGGCCAUAACCUUUGUUCAUUUUUUUGCUCUUUAAUUAAUUUCCAGAUGAAUCAAUUUGGUGGAAAGUUCAGAAUCCAUAAACUUUAAAUUCUGAUUCUCUCUCAGUAUUUGUAUGUUGGUUUUGAGAGGUUGAAGCUGCCAGCAUGAUCUGGUAAGAGCAAAAUCUAUUUUUCCGUAUAUUUUCUUGCAAAAAAAGAAAGGAAAGCCCAUAUUUUUUUCUUAAAAUCUUGAGGCCUUUCCCUCUUUUGGGUUUGAAGUUAAUUAGAUUUGAAAAAAAGAAAAUGAAAUUUUGGAAGGUUUUCUUUAAAGAGAAUAUAUAUAUAUAUAUAUAGCUAGCUUUCCAAAGGUUUGGUUCCAUCAGGUCAUCUAGCAGCUUCAAUCACUCACCAACAAUACACACAAAGGAAAAGGCUUCUAAUUUUGACCUUGACUUCUCAAUGACAUUGAUUUAUCUCAGAUAAAUUUAUGUUGCAAAAUACCGAAUUCAGAUGAACUCGAUACCUGAACGUUGCAUCCGCCACAAUGAAUGAUGAUGGUUUCUGAUGAGUGAUGACAUUUGAGUUUUGAACUCCAGGCAUGUAAAAUUUCCAAAUAUAAAGGCAACAAUUAAUAAUUUAUCCCAUUAAUCGGACCGAAAUUUCUGCGCAGAUUUAUAAGUACUUGCUAGGGGAUCUAUUGUUCUGUUUUUGUGGAAUUUUAAUCCUUUAAUUUGAGUGUACUUUGAGUGCGUGUGGGUGUGUGAUUGUUUGUUUGUUUGUCUGUGUGGUUUUCUAUGCAGAUAUACAAUAUCAAGAUUGAGCCAAGCAAAUUCACAAGACACGAGAAAGACAUGAUUGUUAAUUAAUUUACAAGCUUGUAUUUUCAUCUUAUGGUAUUCAAUUACAUGAUGACAACUGUACUUUUGUUAUGUGGAAAUUAUAAGUAUUACCUAAUUAAUGACUUCACAAAAGUUUAAUGGGUGAUGCACAAUUUCUUAACUGUUACAAAUGCAUUUGUGGUAGGUAUAACAUUGAUAAGAUUUUCAUUA